rnacentral:misc_RNA from 1 species
GAUGAAGAACGUAGCGAAAUGCGAUAAGUAAUGUGAAUUGCAGAAUUCAGUGAAUCAUCGAAUCUUUGAACGCACAUUGCGCCCGCCAGUAUUCUGGCGGGCAUGCCUGUUCGAGCGUCAUUUCAACCCUCAAGACCCCUUCGGGGGACUUGGUGUUGGGGACCGGCACAGGGGCCUGCCUGCUUGUCUUGCAGCGCCCUCGCCGCCCCCGAAAUGAAUUGGCGGCCUCGUCGCGGCCUCCCCUGCGUAGUAGCACAACCUCGCAACGGGAACGUGACGGCGGCCACUGCCGUAAAACAACCCCAAUUUUAUUAGAGUUGACCUCGAAUCAGAUAGGAAUACCCGCUGAACUUAAGCAUAUCAAUAAGCGGAGGA